UUUCAAAAUUUGUCAACCAAUUUUCAUAAGUGGGUCCCCCUGGUCAGGUUUCCAUUUCAUAGGUAUUCAAAUUAUAUACAGUCAAUAUUUCAAACAGAUUAUAGAGCAAAUGAAAUUCAUCCAAAACAACACUAAAUAUUACAAUACAUAAUAUGCUACUCUGACUAAUAUUACACUUUGCCUGAUAUUACAAUACAUAAUAUGCUACUCUUGCUGAUAUGCUUCACGGCUUCACACUUCAUACUUCACCUAUGAAAAAAAAGAAUAAGAACCUGUAGGCAGCAUCAAACAUAGCUUAUAAGCAGAAUUGACAAUAAGCUCAAUUUAAUUGGUCAACAAAUCUUCCAUCUAUAUUUCUAUCAGCAGCACACUAGAUAGGCCACACAUUUAUUCCUACAGUACAGUGAGGAAAAAACAGAUUAUGGUGCCUGCCAAGUGAGGUAAAAAUAGAUUAUCAGCAGCACACUAGAUAGGCCACACAUCUAUAUUUCUAUCAGCAGCACACUAGAUAGGCCACACAUUUAUUACAUUUACAUGGUGGUGGCUGGCUGGCAAUCAUGGUUGCUAGCUCAUGCUGCCAGUGUGCGUGCACAUCUCCCCGCUGGAACCAACCCAACCCAAACGAAGCAACAGUAGCAAACCACACAUGUACCAGUAAACUUCAGUAUGAAACAAUUCCUCGCCGAAAGAAACUACCAAAUCAUUUCCAAGAAUUUCGAAGAAACCGCCUCAAGUCGAUUCAGCCAAGGAUAUUAUUUUCCACAAGCAAAAAACUACAGUUCAACUCCCACAUGGGCAUGGGGUUUUUGGGUUUCAAGACACAAAUCACAGAACUGGAUGGGCAUAUAGAAGGUACACUAUGAAUCUACGACAUCAACCUGCUGGAGUUACUUGUCCUUAGUGAUGAGCAGCUGCUUCCUCCUUGGGCUUGGUCAUCUGGACAGCCAAAAAAACAUGCAAGUGUAAGAAGAUGG
rnacentral:lncRNA from 1 species